rnacentral:lncRNA from 1 species
CGCCGCUUCAGUUCCCACCCCUUUCUCGGAAAGAAAAUGUCAGCAGAAUCGGAUGACUGUUGUCGGGCGCGCCGCUGAGCCUGCGGGGACUACGGGGAUGGCGCCGGGCUGGUGUCCCGGGUCUCCGACCUCCGGUCCUUGGCUGCCCACAGACUGCACCGGUUUUGCUCGCGGAGGGAGAUGUCCUGGGGACUGGUCCUCUAGUGGGUUCCGAAAGUGAAAGCCUGCGGACUAAACAGACCCAAAAUAAGGAGCUUCCCACUUGCCCGGGUCACUUGAAGGGCUUUCGCAUCCACCACGAAGUACAACAUACAACUUCCGAGACCCACCGUUCAGGUAAACAUGUAUGGCAGGAUGAAAUCACAGUUUCUUCCCUUCCAGAUUUGGUUAUAGUCCGUUGUAACCCUAGUGUUGCAAUUUUCUCGCUUAAGAAGGACAUAGCCAGCCCUGCCUGCCCUCGGACAGAAGGUUAGGUUAGUAUGUCAAAGGAGAAGGCAGUUCACACUAACAAAGUGUUACAAGCACAGAGUAAACCAUUCAGGAAUAAAACUCUAGCCAAAGAGCAGAAGAAAAACCGUCCACUUAAGAUGCGGUGGUCUGCUGCUUUCCUAGAUACUCUAAAGGACACGGGGUAACAGUAAAAAAGUGAAGGACAUCAGAAAACGUAGACAUAGAACCGAGGGGCUAUGACUUAGCAGUCUCAAAACUCAGUUAUUUCUGAGUUAUGUGAAUCUUAUUUGCACAUCCCAGGUAUUCAUUUUCAAAUUAUUCAAAAAUGCUCAUUUACAUAGAUCCCCAAACAUAUUCUUUUUGGAUUUUUCUGUUAUUUUCUCCAGUUUUAUGCCCAAAUGUAUUUUUUUAACAUCAUUAAAAAUUUUUUUUUGUUUUUGUUUUUUCGAGACAGGGUUUCUCUGUAUAGUCCUGGCUGUCCUGGAACUCACUUUAUAGACCAGACUGGCCUUGAACUCAGAAAUCCGCCUGCCUCUGCCUCCCAAGUGCUGGGAUUAAAGAUGUGCACCACCACCGUCCGGCUCAUUGAAGAAUUAAAAAACAAAAAAAAACAAAAAAAAAAAACAAAAAAAAAAACAAAACCAUGGUGAAAGAGAGCUGAAGAUUUGAAGCUAAGCAGUGCUGGCAUCUUGUCUGUGUUACCAGUCCCACGAUCUCAGGAAGUUCACCCUCUUUGAGCUUUAGUAUGAAAUGGAAUUUCUGUGAAUUUAAUAAGAUGAGUGAGAGGCUGACAUACUUAACAGGUGAUAAAUAAUAUGUGGGAUAUGUAUGCAAUUCCCGAUUUUUUUUCAUAAUAUUCCUGAAGUUAUUACUGUCAGGUCCAAAAGCCUUUUGUUCAGUUAACCUCUCCUCUCACCUCCUCUGCUUGCAUAGCCCAAACCAGUCUUGAACUGAUUUCGGAGGCCAGACAGGCCUGGAAAUCAAAAUUCUCCUGCCUUAGCUUCAAUAGGGCUAGGAUUACAGGUGUGAGCCAACCAUUCUUAUCUCAGAAUACCAUUAAUAGUGAGAAAAGCCUUACAGGCUGGAGUAGAAAGUAUCACUCAGGAUGUGGUCUCGUGAUUAGAACAUAGGUGAAUUUGGAACACUCCUUGGGUCAGAAAAUGGAUAAAGAACCAGGCAACCUGGACUAUUCCUUUGAGAAAAUGUGAUAUUCUCUCAUUCUCCCGCCCUGGAACUCAAGCAGGUCAGGGAGCAGGAGCUGAUGCAGAGGCCAUGGAGGGAUGUUCUUUACUGGCUUGCCUCAUUAAUGAACACAGGGUACACAAUGGAGUCCCCCUCAUACAGUACGUCUUCUCCGCUGAAAAGCUUGAAGAUGGGUUCACCAGGCCUCAGUGGCUCAAAGUCAUGGUCCUGCAGUUGAGGGUGCACAGUGCCAGCCAGGUCACCAUCCGCAGUGCGUGGGAAGUCCACACUGCCCAAGUUCCUGUAGAUAUCCAUCUCAAAGGCGGGUAAGUCCAUGCCUUCAAAACCAGUACCACCUGGGUGACCCUUACAUAUUACCAAGUCCCGCUGCAGCAGGAGUGCAAC